rnacentral:misc_RNA from 2 species
UCUGUAUCUCCAGGCUUCCCCGGGAGGGGAGGGCCAGGGUGUUGGGCUGUGCCGUCCCCCCGUGUUGUCGGUGGGGGAUGGGCCUCAAACAGAGUGGCAGUACCGCUUCCGGUCCUGAGAGCAUGAUGGGGCGUUGUCACCGGCUCUGGGGGACUGGAUCCGGGUUGCUGGCCAGGCCGUCUUGAUUCUAUCC